AUUGAACGCUGGCGGCAGGCUUAACACAUGCAAGUCGAGCGGUAGCACAGGGGAGCUUGCUCCCUGGGUGACGAGCGGCGGACGGGUGAGUAAUGUCUGGGAAACUGCCUGAUGGAGGGGGAUAACUACUGGAAACGGUAGCUAAUACCGCAUAACGUCGCAAGACCAAAGAGGGGGACCUUCGGGCCUCUUGCCAUCAGAUGUGCCCAGAUGGGAUUAGCUAGUAGGUGGGGUAAUGGCUCACCUAGGCGACGAUCCCUAGCUGGUCUGAGAGGAUGACAAGACAUGCUGGAACUGAAACACGGUCCAGACUCCUACGGGAGGCAGCAGUGGGGAAUAUUGCACAAUGGGCGCAAGCCUGAUGCAGCCAUGCCGCGUGUGUGAAGAAGGCCUUCGGGUUGUAAAGCACUUUCAGCGCGGAGGAAGGUGGUGAGCUUAAUACGUUCAUCAAUUGACGUUACUCGCAGAAGAAGCACCGGCUAACUCCGUG
rnacentral:rRNA from 1 species